GAAUUUGAAUGUAAACAAAUUAACUGGGCAUGUUCCAUCAUCCAUCUUCAACUUGUCAUCCCUGAAAAGUCUAGCCAUGGCAAAUAACUCACUCACAGGGGAAUUACCAUCAAACUUAGGUUAUACACUCCCAAAUAUUAAAACAUUAAUUCUGUCCAAUAAUAGGUUCAAAGGCCCAAUCCCACCUACUCUUGUCAAUGCUUCCAAUCUGAAAUCGCUGUACUUGCGCAAUAAUAGCCUUACUGGGCUCAUUCCUUUCUUUGGAUCAUUGCUAAAUUUGGAGGAAGUUAUGUUGUCAUACAACAAGCUGGAAGCAGCUGACUGGAGUUUUAUUUCAUCACUAUCGAAUUGCUCCAAAUUGACAAAACUAUUGAUAGAUGGGAACAAUCUCAAAGGUAAACUGCCUCGUUCCAUUGGCAAUCUUUCCAGUAGUCUCAAAUGGUUGUGGCUAAGAGACAACAAAAUUUCUGGGCAUAUACCACCAGAGUUGGGAAAUCUAAAGGGCUUGGAAAUGUUGUACAUGGAUUACAAUCUUUUGACAGGAAACAUACCCCCGGCAAUUGGAAAUUUGAACAACUUGGUCGUUCUAGCCAUGGCCCAAAACAACCUGUCAGGACAAAUCCCUGAUACAAUUGGCAACCUUGUUAAGCUAACCGAUCUGAAGUUAGAUAGGAAUUACUUUAGUGGAGGCAUACCAGCAACUCUAGAGCAUUGUACUCAACUGGCAAUACUCAACCUUGCCCAUAACUCACUAGAUGGAAGAAUACCAAAUCAGAUCUUCAAAAUUUUGUCACUUCCCAAGAGUUGGACCUGUCACACAAUUACUUGUUCGGAGGAAUACCAGAGGAAGUUGGAAAUCUCAUUAAUCUGAAAAACCUUAGCAUCUCAAACAACAGGUUGUCUGGCAACAUCCCAUCCUCUCUUGGCAAGUGUGUUGCUCUGGAGUCUCUUGAGAUGCAAAGCAACUUAUUAGUAGGAAGCAUACCAAAAUCUUUUGAGAAGUUGGUAGGCAUCUGGAAUAUGGAUAUUUCACAGAACAACUUGACUGGAAAAAUACCAGAUUUUCUUUCAAACUUCAGUUUACUAUAUGAUCUGAAUUUAUCAUUCAACAAUUUUGAAGGAGAAGUUCCAGCAGGUGGUAUUUUUCGUAAUGCUAGUGUGGUAUCAAUAGAAGGGAAUAAUGGCUUGUGUGCAAGAACAUCAAUGGGAGGUAUACCACUUUGCUCAGUACAGGUUCACAGGAAUAGGAGACACAAGUCUUUGGUUCUAGUCCUAAUGAUAGUAAUACCAAUUGUUUCUAUCACUAUCAUUCUAUUAAGUUUUGCUGCAUUUUUUUGGAGGAAGAGAAUGCAGGUUACUCCAAAAUUGCCACAAUGUAAUGAGCAUGUGUUUAAGAAUAUUACAUAUGAAAACAUUGCCAAGGCCACAAAUAAGUUUUCUUCAGAUAACUUAAUUGGAUCAGGAUCAUUUGCAAUGGUUUAUAAGGGUAAUUUGGAGCUUCAGGAAGAUGAAGUUGCCAUCAAGAUUUUUAAUCUUGGUACAUAUGGAGCACACAGAGGUUUCAUUGCAGAGUGUGAAACCCUAAGAAAUGUCCGCCAUCGAAAUCUUGUGAAAAUCAUCACUUUAUGUUCUUCAGUGGAUGCCACUGGGGCAGACUUCAAGGCUUUGGUGUUCCAAUACAUGCAGAACGGGAACUUAGACACGUGGCUACAUCCAAAGUCCCAAGAACUUAGCCAAGGAAAGGUUCUAACUAUUAGCCAAAGAGUUAAUAUUGCCUUGGAUGUGGCGUUUGCUUUAGAUUAUCUUCAUAACCAAUGUGCAACGCCACUAAUACAUUGUGACUUGAAGCCAAGCAAUAUUCUUUUGGAUCUUGAUAUGGUUGCAUAUGUCAGUGACUUUGGCCUAGCAAGAUUUGUGUACAAUAGAUUGACUGCACAUGAAGAUACCUCAACAAGUUUGGCUUGCCUAAAAGGGUCAAUUGGAUACAUCCCACCAGGUAAAUAGGCUUCCAAACUUUUGACUCAGUUUGUUCUUUAUAUACUUGUACAGAAAUUUUAAAAAAUAGAGCCUAGCCUUAUAGUUUUAUAAAAUUUAAUGCAGAGUACGGCAUGAGGAAAGAUAUCUCAACCAAGGGUGAUGUCUACAGUUUUGGAAUACUUUUGUUAGAAAUUAUAAUUGGGAGCAGGCCAACUGAUGAAAAAUUUAAUGGCAGCACAACCCUGCAUGAAUUUGUUCAUGGAGCAUUUCCCAAUAAUAUCUACGAGGUAGUUGAUCCAACCAUGCUACAAAAUGACCUUGUUGCAACCGAUGUGAUGGAGAAUUGUAUCAUUCCAUUGGUCAAAAUAGGCCUAUGUUGUUCUGUGCCACUGCCCAACGAACGACCAGAAAUGGGACAAGUUGCAACCAUGAUUCUUGAAAUCAAGCACGCGGCCUCAAACAGGCAUGUCAGAUUAAGCUAACAGCUGCCAGGUUCUAUUUCAUUUAUAGAAGAAUAUACCAAUAUAACAUCCACUGGAUAUUUCACUGUAAACGUAGUAUAGUUAAUGACCUCAUUAGAAGCUUGAAUGGUAGCCACAAUGCUUGCACAGGCAUCCCUAGUUUUUGAAUGUUGAAACCUUUUAUGGUUUAUAUUGUGCGACUUACUUGUUCAUCCUCUAAUCACUAUGAAGAAACAUCGAAUUAUGAGUCUUUGAGAUUGGCUCCCUUCCAUUUUUGCCAUCUCCGGUGGCUACCGGACGCUGCCGUGGUGUAUGAAAAACAGCAUACGCAAAAUGGUAGCUAGUGUUCUACUUGAAUGACACUGGUUGUGUUUCAGCUACCUUUCCAUUUUUCAUUUGCAUUCUGUAUGUUUAGCGACAUGCAUGUUUCUCAAUCCACCGAAAUUUACUUAUCGUGGCAUUAGCAUUUCGUGUCGUUUCUUUUGAUAUAGGAUGAUAAUUCAUAAUAAAAUGUAAAGCAGCAUAAAACAUUUGUAGCCUGGUUAAGGACUUGAAGUAAAAGAGUAGUAGAGACGUAGAGCGGUAAGCAUAUAGAAUGUCAUGCUGUAAACUUACUCCACUUCUAUAGAUGGUUUAGGUAGCCAGGUAGGCACCGUUCCUGCCAAGUUCUUCAAAAGCAAGGGUUGAAUAACUAUGAGCACCAAUCAAAUUGUAAGGAACUCGACCGAUUUGCAUAGCCCUCGCCCAACGGGAUACAUCAAGUAAGACCGUCAAAAUCGAUUAGGUAUUUUGGCAACCAAUUUCGUUGGGAACUAAUUAGUCUCCGAUCAAAGCCAAAUUAUAGGUGUUUGCAGAAGCUGGAUUUGGGUCAGAUUCCAAAACCCCAAGUUCAAACAUGACCCCAACACGAAAUUAGCCCAAUGAAAGGCAUAGAUUGGAGACCGGAUAUAUACAGAUCAAUCUCACACCGACCUAAUUAGCAGAAAAUCAGAUGAUAGAUCAAGCAGAUAGGCAUUCAUAGGACUGGAUAGGGGGAGCACCUGCUGGCUGCUUGCCUGCUCGUGUUCCUGCUAGGCUGCUACUCUCGGAGUCCCAGCUGCCGGCGCCGCUCACUCCAGAGUCCCGAGCGGCGGCGCCGCCCGUUUCGGUUUCCCUUGCGGACUCGCCGUCACCUGCAUAGGGCGCCGCCGCCGCCGUCGGCUGUUGUCGUGGGAGCCCGUCG
rnacentral:lncRNA from 1 species